UACGUAGGGUGCAGGCGUUAAUCGGAAUUACUGGGCGUAAAGCGUGCGCAGGCGGUCUUUUAAGUCAGAUGUGAAAUCCCCGGGCUUAACCUGGGAACUGCGUUUGAAACUGAAAGGCUAGAGUGUGGCAGAGGGGGGUGGAAUUCCGCGUGUAGCAGUGAAAUGCGUAGAUAUGCGGUGGAACACCGAUGGCGAAGGCAAUCCCCUGGGCCUGCACUGACGCUCAUGCACGAAAGCGUGGGGAGCAAACAGG
rnacentral:rRNA from 1 species